rnacentral:lncRNA from 1 species
UGACAAGGCACUCCUCCCCAGCCUCUGCCUAAUAAAAGCCCCACAAUCUCACUCCCUAAGGAGCCGGUCACCUGCCCCUUUCCUUUUGCACCAUCUCCCUUGUGCCUCUCCUGUGCACAAGCUAAUGAACUUCUACUUUUCUACUCCCAUUUGUUGUUGAUCUUGACUUCCAUCCUAGGGGACAACAAGAACCCAAUGUGCCAGGAAUAUAUGGGUGACCACAAAGGGAUGGGACAGGGUGGGGCUUUCUUGAGACCCAGUCGAAGAUUAGACGGGCCUGUGUUGGACUGGCCUGGCCGCCCGGAUGUGGACAUAAAUGGCCCCAGCCAAACCUUCGUUUCAGACUCCAGCAUUUGGAAGAUUAGCCCUGAGCUAACAUCUGCCACCAAUCCUCCCUCUGCCGAGGAAGACUGGCCUGAGCCAACAUCGUGCCUGUCUUCCUCCACCUCACACGUGGUACGUCCACCACAGCAUGUCCCGCCAAGCGAUGCCAUGUUUGCACCCGGGAUCCGAACCAGUGAACCCCGGGCCACCGAAGCAGAAUGUGUGAAAUUAACCACUGCACCACCAGGCAGGCCCCUAGUGAAAAGUCUUAAAACAAAAUUUGGAUUCAUAACUAGUGUAUUACUGUACCUGAUUCAUGCUAGUCAUUUUAAAACAAUAGAUGUGGAGACUCUGUGCAUGUGUAUCUUCAUGUAUAUUAUACAUGUGUGAUAUUUUACCUCUGGAUGGAUGGCUAAAAUUAAGAGCCCUCUUUAAUUGGCUCAAAGUAAACACUUACCUAAAUUACUUCUAAAUGUAAAAGAAACUAACCAAAAUGUCUUUCAUUAACGUGAUAAAGUUAAUAUUUGGUAAAUGAAAGCUUAUUUAUGUUUGUUGGUUUGAUUAAAAUGGACAUGUCCUCCAGAGUUAGCACCGGAUAUGAUGCAGACUUGCAGGCUUUAUUCUACGUUUAUUGGUCAAACAAGCUGAUGUAAUCUCUGUUACAAAAAUGGCAACAAAAAUAACAACUUAAAAUGAUGGCUAAUUUUGUGUAAUGUCUCAUGAAGUUUUGCAGGCAAUCUAAAUAAUUAUUGGGAAUGAGUAAACUGAAUAGAAGUGAACAAGAUAAAAAUGUUGGGUGAACUUUUUAACAGUAAUUAUGUGUUAUGCCAUGUGUAUUUAAAAUAACUUUCAAAAUCUUUCUUGUAACUUGAAGCUUUGAGGUUUCAUUAGGUGAAAUUAAGAGAUAAAAAACUCAUUGGAUAUCUGGGCCAUUUUCAAAUAAGAUAAUAUACUGAUACAUUAUUGCUAAACACAUCUAAGUUUAUCUACUUUUGGCUUCUUAUUACAGAGAAACUAAAAGAUGUUUGGGUCUAUUGGUAAGCAUGUCUUGUAUUUUAUUAAGACUGUACUAUGAAGUAGGAUGUUUCUAGAAAUUAUGGAAAGUAUUUAUAAAUUUGUCAAGC